GAAUCUUCCGCAAUGGACGCAAGUCUGACGGAGCAACGCCGCGUGAGCGAAGAAGGUUUUCGGAUCGUAAAGCUCUGUUGUGAGGGAAGAACAAGUGUAGGAGUAACUGCCAACAUCGUUACGGUCCCUCCCCAGAAAGCCACGGCUAACUACGUUCCAGCAGCCGCGGUAAUACGUAGGUGGCAAGCGUUGUCCGGAAUUAUUGGGCGUAAAGCGCGCGCAGGCGGUCCUUUAAGUCUGAUGUGAAAUCUUGCGGCUUAACCGCAAGCGGUCAUUGGAAACUGGGGGACUUGAGUACAGAAGAGGAGAGUGGAAUUCCACGUGUAGCGGUGAAAUGCGUAGAGAUGUGGAGGAACACCAGUGGCGAAGGCGGCUCUCUGGUCUGUCACUGACGCUGAGGCGCGAAAGCGUGGGUAGCGAAC
rnacentral:rRNA from 1 species